rnacentral:rRNA from 1 species
UACGUAGGUCCCGAGCGUUGUCCGGAUUUAUUGGGCGUAAAGCGAGCGCAGGUGGUUUAUUAAGUCUGGUGUAAAAGGCAGUGGCUCGACCAUUGUAUGCAUUGGAAACUGGUAGACUUGAGUGCAGGAGAGGAGAGUGGAAUUCCAUGUGUAGCGGUGAAAUGCGUAGAUAUAUGGAGGAACCCCGGUGGCGAAAGCGGCUCUCUGGCCUGUAACUGACACUGAGGCUCGAAAGCGUGGGGAGCAAACAGG